CCCCUCUCAGGAUUGCUCCUGGAGGGUUUCCAGUACUCUACCAAUCUCGGCUAUGGGAGGAAAGAGGCAAGCGGAGGCCUACCCAUUCCAUUCCUAGCUUGGGCAGUGGCUAGCGAGUGGAAGGCAAUCUGCUACAAGC